GUGGAAGAAGCAGCAGAGUCCAGGAAUGGAGGAAGCCCUGAUUUGGUGAUGGUUCACUUCAACCUCAGCUCUGAGGUGUAACAAAGCAUCUGCCUGUGCCAGUGGUGGUUCAGAGAAUCACACCAAGAACAUCACCCAGUUUUACAUGGCCUGAAGGAUUUAUUUGCAGCAAGUUCACAAGGCUGAGAUUCAUCCACUGGAUUAGAGA